rnacentral:rRNA from 1 species
GAACGACUCUCGGCAACGGAUAUCUCGGCUCUUGCAUCGAUGAAGAACGUAGCGAAAUGCGAUACUUGGUGUGAAUUGCAGAAUCCUGUGAACCAUCGAGUCUUUGAACGCAAGUUGCGCCCGAAGCCAUUAGGCCGAGGGCACGCCUGCCUGGGUGUCACAC